CCCCAGGUCCUCUGCAGUAUACCAUCAAACCCUGUGGCGCAACCCUCUCCAAUAGCUACACCCAUGUCUGUUGAAGAGCAGCAAGAGACCCAGAGUGACCAAUCGCCACUGUUCAGUAGCUUCAGCUGAACCUGCUUCAAGAGAAGCUGCCAAACCAUUGGAACCUCCCAGUGGAGCUGGAGCCGAAGCACAUGUGGAAAUGAAAUGUGAAAGUGAUGGAAUACAACCAUGAAGCUUUUAAUUCCUAUCCUAAUAACCUGUGCAGUGGGGAAAUCCCCAAGGGCAGGACUAGCCUACAGAACUGAAUAGGGAAGGAUAUAAUUUCCUACUGCAGGGGCCAGGGCCCUGAAGCACUGGAUGUUUGUGCCACUAUCACUAGCUUUAAAAUCCUGUCGCUUCUCUUAUUCUGCAUCCUUUGAAGGACACAAUAUUUGACUUCUGAAGUGGCAGGAAAUGAGAGAUUUCAUGAAUGAACUCUGCCUUGCCAAACUGUCAGAUGAGGACUAAUUUUUACUCUGUCCAGAAGAUUUAAGAUGGCUGCAUUGUACAUCCAACUGCUCAACAUUUGUGACCAUGGCGGGUUAUCGCAGCAAACGCUCUUCUGCUUGGACCACUGUGGAUCUGCUGGAUCUGCUCAGUAUUUGGGGAGAGGAGGCUGUGCAGUCCCAGCUGCACGUGAACCGUAGGAAUUUUGAUACCUACAGGCAAAUUUCUCGAGGCUUGCGUGAAAAGAGCAGUGAUUGGGACAUGCAGCAGUGCAGAAGAUAAAGGAGCUGAGGCAGGUGCACCAGAAGGCGAGGGAAGCAAACCGUCGCUCCAGUGCUGCACCUAAGACCUGCCACUUCUAUAAGGAGCUGGCCGCUAUUCUCAGUGACAACCUCACCACCACCUGCAAGAGCCCCGUGGAUAUUUCGACAGGCCUGGAGGUGGCGAAAAGAGGACCUAACCCGGAGGACGAAGUCAUUGAUGAAGAGGUGGAGUUAGAUGAUGUGGAGCUCCUGGCAGGUAUCUAGCCAGUCUCAGCAGUUGCUCUCUGGCAAUCAGAAGCAGGAGAGGAGAUGCCUGGUAAGUGGCUGUGGUUUGUGUGACGCAGAGGUGGGUUCAGGGUAUAGAACUAUACAUGUCUGGCUGUGUUUCUGUGUGCUGGAUAUUUCCCUGUGCAGCUAUUCACUUCGGUGGAACAGGGUGUUGCUGCACACCAAGAUCUCACGGGAAUCCUCCAGAGAGAUCUCUAGGAAAGUUUCCUGGAGGUACUCAGCAAUCCUCUGCCAAAGGUUCCUUUGCAGAACUGCUUUGUUCCUUCCCCAUGGUAGGAAACUUUCCUGCACCAUCCGGCAAUCAUUUGUGCAAGGAUCAAAGUGGCACACAGGCAAGCAGCAUAGGGACCAGGGCAGAAGCCACAAGCGUGUAGUAGAUGUAUCCUCGCUUCCCUGCUUACUCUCAGCAGUGAGAUCCCUGCAUGUGGAAAAGUGUGGGAGAAUUUUAGAAUUUUUUCCCCCUAGUUGGCUGCACCGCAACCCUGGCAGUGUGUUCUUUUCCCCAUGCUGAGCACCCCCUCCCCUAGCCAACAUUCACCGGGCUUUGGGUGUUUGUCGAGAUGUGCGGUUGCCAAGAGUCAGUGAGAAAGUGAUUGUUUGGUUCUAAUAAAGAAAAAGGGUCAUGGUAGCUUCUGCCUCUGCCCCAUAACAGGGAGGGCUGGCAGUGCUGUUCCCUUGCAUUCUCUCUGCCUCUAAAUGAGGAUUAGUAAAAAUGAAGAAUUUCCAAUUACAAGUAGCUUAGUGAAGUAAAGGGAGAGAGUGCCUCCUCUUUUGACAGCAAGCUGGGUGGGGAUGCAUGCUUUACUCAGUAAAUUGGACUAUGUUCCUCGUUAAUUUUUUGUUUUAACCUUUUUGAUCUGCAAUUUGUCGAGGUUUUGCUGUCCUUGAAGACGGUGCACUGGAUCACUGUCUGCAGGAACAAGAGAGUAAGAGCUGGAAUCCACGGGCUGAUAGUGAUUGGAGUGGAAACCCUGCCUCCUUGAAAGGGAGGAGAUAAACAAGAGUAGGGACCGAACCAGGGUGAAGAAAGAAGGCUCGCCAGAGAUUAAGAGUGAAUCCGGCAUCCAAGUGUCUGUCACUUUCAAAACUGGAACUUAACUGCUUUUGAAAAUUUUAUCUUUUAUCUUGAGAGAUGAGAAUCCCCAGCAGCCUUUCAGCACUAACCCCCUGAAAUGGCAGCUGGCAGAACUAGAACUUGGGAAUCAGGAGCAGUUCCUACAAGAAGAAGAACUGGCUUGGAGACUGAAGGAGGAGGAGUAGACUCAUGCCUUAGAGAGGAAGGAGGAACCAGGAAUGCAAUGACAACUGUUGAACAGCCCAGGUGGCUCAGGAUGAGGAGAUUGCUAGAUAUAUGCAGAACCAGGAACUAAAAGCCCAGUGGAGAUCCCAUGAGACAAACCUGGAGACAGAGAACAGUGAUGAGGGGAGCAACUUAUCUGAGCCAAGGAGAAGCAAGGACAAGAAGGCAACAGUUCCUCAAAAGACUGCUGAAGAUCUGGAACCAACUUUUAAGUGAAAAAAGAACCACCUGCUGAAGUGUUUGCAUUCUGCUCCCAAGCUGCCCAGUCACACACUGUCCCAGUUGAUGGCCAUCGGACCUGCCUUUAUUCACCGACCAAAUGUCAGCCUGAAAAGCUAGGACACCAAAAAUCCAGGGACAAGAAGGAAGGUUGUAAGCAGCAGUGAAUCCUAAAGCCUUCACCUACAGCCUACUUCUUCUAGCAACAACAAAAUAUAUUUCUUCCCCAUAACUAAGAGGAGAAAAUAAUGGCUUGAAAAUAUUUUCCAGGAAGUAUUGAAGAAACUAAACUUGAAAAGAUGAGAACAAUAGCUUCACAUGUCUCUUGAAGACUGUCAUGUAGGGUUUAUAGGCUUUUUGGAGGAAAUCCAUUUUCAGGAAGGACAUGAAGGGGAGGACUGAAGCUUGCCUGACCAAGUCAAGGAGGGAGUUCCAGCUGCAGGAAGCUUCACAGGAAAGGGUGUGGACAAAAGGAUGGGUUUCCUUCCAUGUCACUUGUGAGACACAUUAAAAGAUUAGCCAAGACACACUCCAAAAUACCUCCAAGAAGCAGAGAUACUGAGGAAGAUAGGAGGUUUCUCUACAUUGUGCAGGUGAUGUCCCACUCGUACACCUAAGAGUGUCAUUUCCUGGGAGCUUCCUGUGGUUUCAUUUGUUGUCGGUCUUAGGCAGGUAGGAAACCGUCAAAUAUUGUAUCUUUACAAAAUUGUGCCACCUCUAGAGCUGGGUCACAUUUUUUGGCCAAAUAGUUUAGUUUCCAAAAAAUGCUGUUUCGAUGAACCUGCAACUAUUCAUGAAUUUCCCAGCUAAAACUAAUUGGGUCAAAAACUUUUUCAGCGCCAGCUUCAGAAACCCAUGUGUGUCUGUAUGUUGUCCUCCUAACCUUUUGCCCAGUGGUUAGGGCACUUGACACACCACUUUGAAUCAUGCAGAGAGAAGAUUCAAGUUUUCAUAGCCUACCUCCCAAGUGAGUGCCUUAAUCACCAGGCUAUAAAGUUAUUUGCAUUUUCUCUUUGACCCAAUGAAUAUUUAAGUAGUUAAUAUGAAGUGGAACAACUUCAACAGGAGAGACUGAGAGCAACCCACACAGAAUAGCCUAUAGCCUGGUGCUUCAGAUGCUCAUUUGCGAGGGAGGAGAUGUGAGUCUGAGUCCCUGCUCCACAGUCUGGAUUCAAAUAUGGUUCUCCUCCAUAUUUUAGUGCAAGUGCACUAAAAUCACUGGGAUAAAGGUUAAAAGGGGACAGACAUGGAUGGAGACACACACUUUUUCUGACUCAAAAGAAACAGAUGAUCCAAAAUAGACUCUUCCAAUUUGCAUUCAAAGUCUGAAUAUUUUCUGAACGGAACCAAUUUUUUGUUCCGAUUUUUAAUUUGCUGGCUGACUCCAAAAAAAUAAAUUACUCACCGAGCUCCAGUCACUACCAAAUUCCAAAGGGCCACGGGAGACCACCUUUGUAACAUUUCUAAAGCUAAUUUCCUCCCAAUAACCUGAUUUUUUUUAAAAAUAAUAAUAAUAAUCAAAAUCUAAAACCUGAUUUUCUUUUCACAGU